GACGUAGGGCGCGAGCGUUGUCCGGAUUUAUUGGGCGUAAAGAGCUCGUAGGCGGCUUGUCGCGUCGUUCGUGAAAACUCACAGCUCAACUGUGAGCUUGCGGUCGAUACGGGCAGGCUAGAGUUCGGUAGGGGAGACUGGAAUUCCUGGUGUAGCGGUGAAAUGCGCAGAUAUCAGGAGGAACACCGGUGGCGAAGGCGGGUCUCUGGGACGGUACUGACGCUGGAGACGCGAAAGCCGUGGGGAGCGAACAGG
rnacentral:rRNA from 1 species